UGCGGAGACAUUAGUACGCCGGCGGGCCACCGUGAAAGGUGACCCGCCGGGUUCGUGCCGGAACUGAUGGCUGGGGGGAAGCUUUUCCGAAAUGCCUCACUCGCGAAGUGAGGCGGACUGUGGGCCUCAGGUAAUGGGAAGAACAGCCACGUCUCCCGGGCGCCCCACCGCCUGGGCGGUGGGUAGUGACCCGGAGCCCCCCAACACCCCGCCGCGGGUGGCGCAUGCACUGUCUGCUCACACGACCAGCGGGCAGUGGUCCUCGGGCGCCGCAGCACUCCCAGCACUUUGUUCGCUCAAUCGCCCAGCUUACACUGUUGACUGGCGAUGGGUACCUCUGCCAAGGGUGCGGGCACUGGUACCGGGGAGGGGGGUGGCGAAAUCGACCUGGCCCGCGGCGGCCGCCAGGGAAGGCCCCGUCGCUACCCAGCGGCGAGCCAGGCCCGGCGAGCUGGGACGAGCCCGGCACCGGCGGGGGACUGGCCCCGGCCAACGACCCCGGGGACGCCUCCCCCGCCGACCGGAACUGUAGCUCAGGGGGCCUCGCGUCGCGCACAGAGCGGGCCACCCAUGAUACGGCCCCCAGGCCGAGGAUGGGCGCCGCCCGGCGCCCGUCCCUCUUCCACGUGGCAAUUUCCAGCCUCCAACCUCCGAGUACACCUCCCCGUUGCUUCCCCCGGGGACGCCCCCGGGGGGAGGUCCCAGAGCGAAACGACGCCGGCCAACCGGGCCGCGCCACGCAGAGUCUGAAGGAGAGAGCGAGGACGCGAACGACGAAAAAGUAAAGGGAAGAAAACUUUCAACAACGGAUCUCUUGGUUCCCGCAUCGAUGAAGAACGCAGCGAAAUGCGAUAGGUAAUGUGAAUUGCAGAAUUCAGUGAAUCAUCGAAUCUUUGAACGCACAUUGCGCCCCCCGGGAUUCCGGGGAGCAUGCCUGUUCGAGCGUCUCCGGGACGACUACUCACGCUGGCGUACGCGUGGUGAUGGCGGCGGUGGCGGCCCCGAGACGGGGGGCCACCGAGCCGGAAUGCAUGGGCGGUCGCCUGCCGCGUGGCCGAGCGUGAUACGACGCAAUCGGCGCUCCCUCGCGGCGAGGCUGCCAGCCCCCGGGCCCGCGCCGGCGGGCGGGGAGACAAUGACCCCUACGAACUCCUCGAAUCAGUA
rnacentral:rRNA from 1 species